AUUUCUGAGACUGUCAGCCUUGAAGUGCUGGGUGCCUAUCCUCGACUGUCACUGAGCUUUCGGUUGAAGAGGAACAUUGGAUACUUCAUUCUUCAGACUU
rnacentral:sRNA from 1 species